rnacentral:rRNA from 7 species
AGAACGACUCUCGGCAACGGAUAUCUCGGCUCUCGCAUCGAUGAAGAACGUAGCGAAAUGCGAUACUUGGUGUGAAUUGCAGAAUCCCGUGAACCAUCGAGUCUUUGAACGCAAGUUGCGCCCGAAGCCGUCAGGCCGAGGGCACGUCUGCCUGGGCGUCACGC